rnacentral:lncRNA from 1 species
UUGUUUUAUAUAGGUGGAGGUUGGUUAGAUUGUGAGUGUUAGAUCGAUGAGAAGAUGAUGUAAGGUGGUGAGUAUGCACUUUGCAGAUGGAGGGAGAAGUUUGUGGUUUGUGUGUUGUUGGAACUUGGAAUGAAGUAGCAGGAGGUUUUGUUCUUUUGAAGGGAAGAAGAAAUGGUAUAUGGUAGAGAAUGAGGGACUUGGAUAUGAGAGAAAGAAAGAGUAUAACGUUGAAGAUGGAUGGGGUGAAGGAAGAUUUUAUGAAGUUACAGCGGAGAGAGUUAUGUAAUGUGAGUGUGUAUGUGCCUCCACAAUGAAGACUCUUUUAUUUUUUUGUUUCAAAGCUCUGAGCUUCUUCUUUUUCAUGUUGCAGUAGAGAGAGGGACGUGAGGGAUAUCUUUUGUGUUUUUGUCCGUUAGAGUCUUUAUUAUUUUUCUUUUUGUCCUUUUUGGCUCAGAGAGAGAUGUUGGAGUGUGAGAGAGUUUUCGUUUCUCUCCUUUUUGACCGUUGG